rnacentral:rRNA from 1 species
GGAGAGUGUAUAGAGUGGCGCACGGGUGAGUAACACGUAAGUAAUCUACCUUUGAGUGGGGAAUAACAUCGGGAAACCGAUGCUAAUACCGCAUAAUGCAGCGGCAUCGCAAGAUGACAGUUGUUAAAGAUUUAUCGCUUGAAGAGGAGCUUGCGGCAGAUUAGCUAGUUGGUAAGGUAAUGGCUUACCAAGGCUACGAUCUGUAACCGGUCUAAGAGGACGGUCGGUCACACUGACACUGAAUAACGGGUCAGACUCCUACGGGAGGCAGCAGUCGGGAAUUUUGGGCAAUGGGCGAAAGCCUGGCCCAGCAACGCCGCGUGAAGGAUGAAGUAUUUCGGUAUGUAAACUUCGAAAGAAUAGGAAGAAUAAAUGACGGUACUAUUUAUAAGGUCCGGCUAACUACGUGCCAGCAGCCGCGGUAAUACGUAGGGACCAAGCGUUGUUCGGAUUUACUGGGCGUAAAGGGCGCGUAGGCGGCUUGUCAAGUCACUUGUGAAAUCUCUGGGCUUAACCCAGAACGGCCAAGUGAAACUGACAUGCUAGAGUGCAGAAGGGGCAAUCGGAAUUCUUGGUGUAGCGGUGAAAUGCGUAGAUAUCAAGAGGAACACCUGAGGUGAAGACGGGUUGCUGGGCUGACACUGACGCUGAUGCGCGAAAGCCAGGGGAGCAAACGGGAUUAGAUACCCCGGUAGUCCUGGCCCUAAACGAUGAAUACUUGGUGUCUGGA